CGAACGGGUGAGUAAUGCGUGACCAACCUGCCCCAUGCUCCAGAAUAGCUCUUGGAAACGGGUGGUAAUGCUGGAUGCUCCAACUUGACGCAUGUCUUGUUGGGAAAGUGUUUAGUGGCAUGGGAUGGGGUCGCGUCCUAUCAGCUUGUAGGCGGGGUAAUGGCCCACCUAGGCUUCGACGGGUAGCCGGCCUGAGAGGGCGGACGGCCACAAUGGGACUGAGACACGGCCCAUACUCCUACGGGAGGCAGCAGUG
rnacentral:rRNA from 1 species